UUUCCGUAGGUGAACCUGCGGAAGGAUCAUUAAAAAAUAUCACAUUUGUUUGUGAUUUAAUAAUCAUCCUACCCUUUGUGAAUUUGUUUUUGUUUGAAAUUUAUGUUGUCUAUCCCUGGAUUAUGAAAGAAAAGUUGUAAAAGACUUUUUUUUCAUUCUAGGGAAUAGGCUUUCAUAGACAUUUUUUUAAAUUAAACUUUUUGUAUUCAUUUGUCUAAAAUUUAUUUUUAAAUAAUUUAAAAACAACUUUUGACAAUGGAUCUCUUGGUUCUCGCAACGAUGAAGAACGCAGCAAAAUGCGAUAAGUAAUGUGAAUUGCAGAAUACGUGAAUCAUCAAAUUUUCGAACGCAUAUUGCACUUUUUUAGUUUACUAAAAAAGUAUGUCUGUUUGAGUAUCAGUAAAAUAUUCUCAUAAAAACUAUUGUUUUUAUGGUUAUGAGUGUUUUUACAACGAUAACAAGUUGUUUCACUUUAAAUUGAUUUUUUUAAUAAGCCAAUUUGGUUUUAUUUUUAAAAUUGGAUAAAAUUUUCCCGUAAAAAGGAAUAAACUUUUCAGUUUUAAAGUUAAAACUUAAAUUGACCUACAAAAAAGGAAAUUUAAUUAUAAAACUAACUUGAUCUCAAAUCAGAUAAGAGUACCCGCUGAACUUAAGCAUAUCAAUAAGCGGAGGAAAAGAAACUAACAAGGAUUCCCUUAGUAACGGCGAGUGAAGCGGGAAGAGCUCAAAUUUGAAAUCUUCAAGGUUCUACCUUGACGAAUUGUAGUUUAAAGAAGUGUUUUCUGUUAGUGGAGUGGCAAAAGUUCUUUGGAAUAGGACAUCAUAGAGGGUGAGAAUCCCGUAUUUGGUCAUUCCUUCUAGCUUUGUGAUACACUUUCAAAGAGUCGGAUUGUUUGGGAAUGCAGUCCAAAAUGGGUGGCAAAUUUCAUCUAAAGCUAAAUAUUGGCGAGAGACCGAUAGCGAACAAGUACCGUGAGGGAAAGAUGAAAAGAACUUUGAAAAGAGAGUUAAACAGUACGUGAAAUUGUCAAAAGGGAAGCGUUUGACACCAGUGUUGUUUUUCCGAAAAUCAAUUAUAAAUGUUUUGUUUCUGAGGAGUGAUGACUUCAUCGGCUUCCUUCUCUCUUCACGAAACUUUUGUAAUGCACUUUUCGGUUAACAAGUCAACAUCAAUUUCUUUUGUUGUAAAAGAGUAUUCGGAAGGUGGCUUUCAUUUCGGAGAAAGUGUUUAUAGCCCUAUACUUCUACAAUCGGAGAGAUUGAGGUCUGCAGCGUAGAUCCUUCGGGGUUAGAUACACUUGUGCUAAGUUAUAGCUUUUCAUAGACAACUUGUUGACUAUGUUUAGUCUUGUAGCUUACUCGCUUGUGCUAUUU
rnacentral:misc_RNA from 1 species